AUUGAACGCUGGCGGCAGGCCUAACACAUGCAAGUCGAGCGGAUGAAGGGGGCUUGCUCCUGGUUUCAGCGGCGGACGGGUGAGUAAUGCCUAGGAAUCUGCCUGGUAGUGGGGGAUAACGUCCGGAAACGGGCGCUAAUACCGCAUACGUCCUGAGGGAGAAAGUGGGGGAUCUUCGGACCUCACUCUAUCAGAUGAGCCUAGGCCGGAUUAGCUAGUUGGGGGGGUAAAGGCCUACCAAGGCGACGAUCCGUAAAUGGUCUGAGAGGAUGAUCAGUCACACUGGAGCUGGGACACGGUCCAGACUCCUACGGGAGGCAGCAGUGGGGAAUAUUGGACAAUGGGCGAAAGCAUGAUCCAGCCAUGCCGCGUGUGUGAAGAAGGUCUUCGGAUUGUAAAGCACUUUAAGUUGGGAGGAAGGGCAGUAAGUUAAUACCUUGCUGUUUUGACGUUACCAACAGAAUAAGCACCGGCUAACUUCGUG
rnacentral:rRNA from 1 species